rnacentral:rRNA from 1 species
GAACGGAAAGGCCUGCAGCUUGCUGCGGGUACUCGAGUGGCGAACGGGUGAGUAACACGUGGGUGAUCUGCCUUGCACUUCGGGAUAAGCUUGGGAAACUGGGUCUAAUACCGGAUAGGACAGCUGUUUAGUGUCAGUUGUGGAAAGUUUUUUCGGUGCAAGAUGAGCUCGCGGCCUAUCAGCUUGUUGGUGGGGUAAUGGCCUACCAAGGCGUCGACGGGUAGCCGGCCUGAGAGGGUGUACGGCCACAUUGGGACUGAGAUACGGCCCAGACUCCUACGGGAGGCAGCAGUGGGGAAUAUUGCACAAUGGGCGGAAGCCUGAUGCAGCGACGCCGCGUGGGGGAUGAAGGCCUUCGGGUUGUAAACUCCUUUCGACAGGGACGAAGCGUAAGUGACGGUACCUGUAUAAGAAGCACCGGCUAACUACGUGCCAGCAGCCGCGGUAAUACGUAGGGUGCGAGCGUUGUCCGGAAUUACUGGGCGUAAAGAGCUCGUAGGUGGUUUGUCGCGUCGUCUGUGAAAUUCCGGGGCUUAACUCCGGGCGUGCAGGCGAUACGGGCUGACUUGAGUGCUGUAGGGGAGACUGGAAUUCCUGGUGUAGCGGUGAAAUGCGCAGAUAUCAGGAGGAACACCGAUGGCGAAGGCAGGUCUCUGGGCAGUAACUGACGCUGAGGAGCGAAAGCAUGGGUAGCGAACAGGAUUAGAUACCCUGGUAGUCCAUGCCGUAAACGGUGGGCGCUAGGUGUAGGGGGCUUCCACGUCUUCUGUGCCGUAGCUAACGCAUAAGCGCCCCGCCUGGGGAG